rnacentral:rRNA from 1 species
CAAUAGCGUAUAUUAACUUUGUUGCAGUUAAAAGGCUCGUAGUCGAAUCUAUGGCUCUGUAGGCCUGGCCCGCUGUCUAGUACAUCGAGCGCCGGCGCCUACGGGUCAUCCUUCUGGAAAGCACUUCUGCCCUUGAUUGGUGCGGUCGCUGUGAUCCAGAUCAUUUACUGUGAGUAAAUCAAAGUGUUCAACGCAGGCUUGUGAAGCUUGUAUGCUCUAGCAUGGAAUAAUAAGAUAGGACUUGGGUUCUAUUUUGUUGGCUUCUAGGACCAAAGUAAUGAUCGAUAGGGACAGUUGGGGGUGCUAGUAUUUAACGGUCAGCGGUGAAAUGCUCAGACCCGUUAAAGACUAACUUAUGCGAAAGCAUUCACCAAGGAUGUCUUCUUUGA